GGGCGAUUAGCUCAGUUGGCUAGAGCGCUUGCUCGACAAGCAAGAGGCCACUGGUUCGAGUCCAGUAUCGCCCACCA
rnacentral:tRNA from 4 species